UGAGUGCGAGCUGCUACGGCAGCGAAGUUGGUGACGCCAUGCUUCCAAGAAAAGCCCUAUACCCGUUAAUGCAUCAUGGCCUGUACCCGAAACCGACACAGGUGGGGUGGUAGAGAAUACCGAGGGGCGCGAGGUAACUCUCUCUAAGGAACUCGGCAAAAUGGCCCCGUAACUUCGGGAGAAGGGGUGCCACCGCAAGGUGGUCGCAGUGAAGAGGCCCAGGCGACUGUUUACCAAAAACACAGGUCUCCGCUAAGUCGCAAGACGAUGUAUGGGGGCUGACGCCUGCCCAGUGCCGGAAGGUUAGGGAAGCUGGUCAGCGCAAGCGAAGCUAGCGACUGAAGCCCCGGUGAACGGCGGCCGUAACGAUAACGGUCCUAAGGUAGCGAAAUUCCUUGUCGGGUAAGUUCCGACCCGCACGAAAGGCGUAACGAUCUGGGCGCUGUCUCGGAGAGAGGCUCGGCGAAAUAGAAUUGUCUGUGAAGAUGCGGACUACGUGCACCCGGACAGAAAGACCCUAUGAAGCUUUACUGUAGCUUGGUAUUGUGCCCGGGCUCGCAAUGCGCAGGAUAGGUGGGAGGCUUUGAUCAUCGGCUUGCGGGUCGAUGUGAGCCAACGGUGAGAUACCACUCUUUGCGAGCUAGGGUUCUAACGGCCACCCGUCAUCCGGGGGCCGGACAGUACCUGGUGGGCAGUUUGACUGGGGCGGUCGCCUCCUAAAAGGUAACGGAGGCGCGCAAAGGUUUGCUCAGGCUGGUUGGAAAUCAGCCGACGAGUGUAAAAGCAGAAGCAAGCUUGACUGUGAGACCAACAAGUCGAACAGGGAGGAAACUCGGCUUUAGUGAUCCGACGGUUCUGAGUGGAAGGGCCGUCGCUCAACGGAUAAAAGUUACUCUAAGGAUAACAGGCUGAUCUCCCCCAAGAGUUCACAUCGACGGGGAGGUUUGGCACCUCGAUGUCGGCUCAUCGCAACCUGGGGCUGAAGUCGGUCCCAAGGGUUGGGCUGUUCGCCCAUUAAAGCGGUACGCGAGCUGGGUUCAGAACGUCGUGAGACAGUUCGGUCCAUAUCCGGUGCACGCGCAGGAAUAUUGAGAGGAUUUCUCCCUAGUACGAGAGGACCGGGAGGAACGCACCUCUGGUGUACCAGUUAUCGUGCCAACGGUAAACGCUGGGUAGCCAUGUGCGGAGUGGAUAACCGCUGAAAGCAUCUAAGUGGGAAGCCCACCUCAAGAUGAGUAUUCCCAUGGCGUAAGCCAGUAAGGUCACGGGAAGAACACCCGUUGAUAGGCUCUAUGUGGAAGCGCAGUAAUGCGUGAAGCAGAGGAGUACUAAUAGACCGAGGGCUUGACC
rnacentral:rRNA from 1 species